GGAGGCAGGAAAGUGGCGCGAAGGCGACCAGUUGGGAACCAUGUGGCUGAAUGAAGGGCGGCUCCCUGUGAACGAAAUACAACAAUGUUGUAAGGAUGGAAGGAGAGGGAGCGAAAACCAACUGCAGUUGGAAUCUUGAUUGAGUCCUAGUGGUCUUUUCAGCAGCAGUAACAUGGAGGAACACGAAGGAAGCAUAAACAACAGAUUUGGAGAAGAGACUUGUAUAUCAAGUCGGAAGUGUGUGUACUUUUGCCACCUCUGCCCUUGACAAAACUUCCUUCUCCUCAUCCUGGUGCUUCAAGCGAGGUCACGCUCGCCUUGCCCCUUCCAAGCCGACCCCCGACUCCCCACUGGUGCGAGCAGCCUCUUCCGCAUGGAAGUGCGAUGGGGGUGGGGGAGUCGGCCAACUUCACAUAUGUCCCGUAGGGGCAGAUGAAAGCAUGCAACUCUCCCCUCGUCUUCAAGCGAUGCGUUCUGCACAAAGGCGUACUUGGACAGAUGGACAAACUCAAUUUCUUUUUAUCAUGUGAAAAUUCAAACUUGCCCGCUCACGUCGUUUUAACGUUCAAGCAUUUCUUUGAGAUCCAACCCAUUUCUGCACCUUCUUUCUAAGCUGGCCUGGAAAAGUUUCGCUCCUCCCACUUGGGAGGCCAUUCGCCCAGGGGUCCCUGUUUUGUUCUUCCUAUACAGGCCUGACUGGCCAUUGUCUCCUUGUGACCUCGGGGGUCAACUGAACUCACCUCGCCUGACCACAGCCUAUUCAGCUGUGAAGAAAAAAAUCUUGCAAGAAUAACUCACUGGCGCACAAACCGCAACUACUACAGCUUUUAAACCUUAACCAAACUGUAUUUACACUCACGGGCCAUUUUUGUAUAAAAGAAAAUAAUAACUGCAUUUAUCUAGCAACACAAAGUAUAGCCGCAAUCAUCAGGAGUCAGCGCAGGAGCGUCCCCAGUGACUGAGAGGCUCAUGGAAGCUGACAGGUUGAAAAUGUGUCGCAUGAUGUGGCUGAGGGAGCAUGAAACGUGUUCAUCCAUGGAUGUCGUGCAUGUUGCCACAGGAGAGAGAGAGAGACUGACAAUGAACCCAUGACUGUUUUUUUGUUUUUUUACGUGACGAUAAUUAAAGAUAACUUCAUGGCUCUUA